CAAUGUUAUAAUAAUCAUGCAUAGGGUGAUGAAAAAUUUUGAAGCAGGAGAGACUCAAAAUGCAUUUGAAAUAAUGUAACAUAGCUUAAUUUUAAAUGAAAUUAAGCCACAUUGCAUUAUGGCUGAGACAAACAUCACCUGCAUUAAAUGAGAAUGCAGGUGAUGUUUGGCUUAGCUGUAAGUUCUCAGUAAAUCCAACAGAUGAUAAAAAUGAUCUAGAUGUUCAUAAUUAUGAUACACCUGCACACAAAAUUCACCUCCUCCUGCAGAAACUGAUGAUGAUUUCAUAUGUUUUCAUUAUCAAUGAAGUUCUUAUCACUAUGGAAGAUGGAAAGUAGGAUUGAUGAAUCAGAUUCAAUAAUCCAUUCUGAGAUAGACGAAUGCCUAAAACAUUUCCAGAAUCCUAAUGAUAUAGAAGCUGAUUUAAUGGAUUUGUAUCAGGAAUCCUUAUCCUCCACAACAAUAAUUUAGAAUAUUGCUUCAGAUGAUGUAAAAUAUCUUGCAGAUUAUAUUGCUUUUUGCUGCAAAGAUGUUGAUAGAUCAUUAGGUACUCCAUCAAUGCUGUAUCUAAUGAACUAUCUGAGACAUGAACUGGAUUUUUAAACUUUAAUGUGCUGGACUUCUUGUACCAG
rnacentral:lncRNA from 1 species